GACCUGGUACGGUGGUCCGCCUUCACGGUGUGUACUGCUGGACCGGGUUCUACCUCUUGGUGAGCCGGCAUGCCCUUCACUGGGUGUGUCGGGGAACCAGGACUUUUACCUUGAGAAAAUUAGAGUGUUUAAAGCAAGUGAAUAACAGCCUGAAUACAUUAGCAUGGAAUAAUAGAAUAG
rnacentral:rRNA from 1 species